UACAGAGGCCUCAAGCGUUAGGCGGAAUCACUGGGCUUAAAGCGUGUGUAGGCGGAUCGUUAAGUGUCUUGUGAAAUCCCCCGGCUCACCCGGGGAACUGCUGGGCAUACUGGGCGUCUUGGGCCAACUAGGGGCAACUGGAACAAGCGGUGGAGCGGUGAAAUGCGUAGAUAUCGCGUGGAACGCCGAAGGUGAAAACAGGUUGCUGGGGUUGUGCCGACGCUGAGACACGAAAGCCAGGGGAGCAAACGGG
rnacentral:rRNA from 1 species